GCGAAGUCAUAAAGAUAGAUCCGAACAUUAUGAAGGAGCAGGUGGACUUCCAAUUGCAUUAUAUCAUCUUGAAUCUAGUCUAUCAUGAUGGUAGAGUCUCUCUCAAUGAUGAUUUUUUUUAUCGAGCACAGAUAAUAUAUGCUCAAAUGAUAUGAAUCUCAGCAUCUGAAAUAGAAUGCUGAGAAAAAAAGUGAACUCCCCGGC
rnacentral:lncRNA from 1 species